CAGAGGCGAAAAAGACGUGAAAGCUUUAUACGGCAUCUCCUAUGACGACUCCAGUCUGGUGAACACGAAGAAACACGCGAUGAGCAACGGCACGCUACGUGCUUACAGCUCUUCUGAAAAUAUUGCUGAAGACGAGACGGACCACGUUCAGCCUGAUCAAGUCAUCCGAAUAUAUAAAGCUGAUCAUACUUCAAAAUACUUCGUUAUAUACCAGGUUUGAAUACACCUUAAAUUACGUGGCUCUGAGGCUGACUAUCAGUUUUGAAUUGUUCUCCCUAG
rnacentral:lncRNA from 1 species